UGGGCAACCUGCCCCAGACUCAGGGAUAACCCCGGGGAAACCGGGGCUAAUACCCGAUACUCCGAUCGAACCACAUGGCUCGAUCGGGAAAGCUCCGACGGUCUGGGAUGGGCCCGCGGCCUAUCAGCUUGUUGGUGGGGUAACGGCCUACCAAGGCGACGACGGGUAGCUGGUCUGAGAGGACGACCAGCCACACUGGAACUGAGACACGGCCCAGACUCCUACGGGAG
rnacentral:rRNA from 1 species